GAUAAACAGAUCUAUGAUAAAAGGCAUUCGCUAUAAUAAACGUUCAUACGGGAAUCAGGCAUAUAGUUAGACAGUCGAAAUCAUGAUUACUUGGAGGUGCUGUGGGUUCCUGAUCGGAGUUCUGUUUACAGUAUUCAGAUCAUCCUGCUCUGUCAAGGUAUCAGAAGUAACAUGUACAAAUGGGGAGGAGUGAAUGUACUGACCAUUCAACAUGUGAUACAUCCGCGAGCAUACUGAAGAGUAAAUGUGACACUGGCUACGGAGAAGACUUGACUGAUGGAAGUACAUGUGUAAUGACUGUUAGUGGGAUCAGCUGUACGGCUAAUGGAAAAGAGUGUGACAAAAUAACUCAUGUCGUAUGUGACCAAACAGCUGGUAAAUGUAAAUGCAGUUCUGGUUACACAAUGAACGUUAACACGUGUGCAGCAGAUAACGCAGGUGUUUCAGCGAGAAUGGCAUUUGGCACGUUGGCAUUACCUGCCUUCGUUACAGUCUUGCAUAUAUUCCCAAAGCUGCUGUAAUGU